GUGCUUAACACAUGCAAGUCGAACGAGUGUAGCAAUACAUUCGUGGCGAACGGGUGCGUAACACGUGGAUAACCUUCCUUCAGGUGGGGAAUAACCCAGUGAAAAUUGGGCUAAUACCGCAUAACAAGACGAUGGCACAUGCCGUUGUCUUCAAAGGCGCAAGUCGCCAGAAGAGGGAUCCGCGGCCGAUUAGCUUGUUGGCGGGGUAACGGCCCACCAAGGCAAUGAUCGGUAGCCGGACUGAGAGGUUGGCCGGCCACACUGGAACUGAGACACGGUCCAG
rnacentral:rRNA from 1 species